rnacentral:lncRNA from 1 species
CCAGUCUCUGGGCAAAAAACAGCAGGGGUUUUUGUGAGUGGUCCUUCUGAGAACAAUUGCGCGUGCACGAGAUGACUCCAUGUUUUACUUUCAGUGUUUGAACGAAUACAACAUCGCCCGGUUGGAAUAUUAUCGCUAUUUUACGAGAAAAAUCGCAUAAAAAUGUAUUUUAAACAGCGUUUGACAUGCUUCGAAGUACGGUAAUGGAAUAUUUUGACAUUUUUUGUCAUGAAACGCGCCGGGCGCGUCACCCUUCGGAUAGUUACCUGAACGCAUGAACAAAACGGAGCUAUUUCAAUAUAACUAUGGAUUAUUUCAAACCAAAACAACAUUUGUUGUUGAAGUAGAAGUCCUGGGAGUGCAUUCUGACGAAGAACAGCAAAGUUUGGAGGAAGAAGGAUACCUUGACCUGUCGAAUUCUAUCAACCUCUUCUGUGUGGAAUAUGUGUUCCUACCUCGUCUGCAGGCAGAUCUGCAGAAUUUCACAGUUAUUUCAGCUGUGUCGGUGAACCCCUCCCUCCAGCAUCUGAACUGGCUGACACAGAGGGCACAGCAUGAUCAUAGGUAUGUUUUGAUGUGAGAGAGGAAGCCAGUCCCAUUAUCGCCACCUCACCCGCUCUUAAGAUAACCUUCGGGCCAACUGGGGGCCCAAAGCUGGUUAAGAGACACUGCAAUUGUGAUGAACUGAGAGAAUAUUAGGGUAGCACUGUAAUUCAUUAAUCAUAUACUUUCUGCCUCUGUUCUUACCCCUUUCCCUUCCUGUCUUCUACACCUCUCUCCCCAACUCUUCUAUCUUCCUUGUUUUAUAAUGCACACCAUAUGUGCAUUGAAGUACAGAUUUAACUUCUAUUUAUAAUAUUACAAUUAUCAUAAUUAUAAUGCAUGUAUUAUGUAUUUAUAACACCUGGAUAAUGGACUUCUUUCAAAAAAGCAUUUAACAUUCUCCACUGGUUGAAAUUAAGUAUCUCAUUGAAAUACUAUCCUGUCUCCUCAGAUUAAUGUAGAUGGAGUUAGAUAUGCAUACUUUUGUUAAGUAUAUAAUUGUAGAACAUACAUGCAGACACAGCAUCAUUCAAAGAAUGGAGUUUGAUACACCUGGUAUUGGAAAUGACUGAAAAAGAAUCUCACAAAAAUUCAUACCUGAACCACACCUUUAUUUGCCAAAGAAGAGUACAUGGUCAGUGAAUAUAUUCAAUGUGCAGGCUACAAUGUGGGGGAUCUCAUGCGUGGUAAUAACUACAGUACAUGUAUAUAGGACUUGUAUCCUUGGCACAAUAAAGUUAUUAUAUUCUACUCAAUCCAUUAAUGCCAUUCAGACUUGAAGUUGAUACGACAACUAUGAUAGCUGAGGUUCAUAGAUUGGUAUGAAUAUUAGUUCAGAACAUUUUAGGGUCCAUACACAGAUCGGCAACAUACUGUAGCUAGCUACACAUACAUAGGCAUACAGUUAUUUUUAUCCUCCACUACACAAUAAGCAAGUAAAUAGUUAGCUAGCUAUGUUACUUCAGCAGCAUUGCACGGCAAGGCAAGCUUACGUAACUGUACAUUCAAUUUGCAGUAUAUGCUUUAGCUAGAUUCUUUACAUCCACUGUUUCCCAAGACGACAGCCUGGUUUGCUGGUUUUCUCAGGAAUCCCUAAAACAUUAAACAACACGAAUUACAAUGUCAUACUGUACUCAUGUCAUAACACCAGCUAGCUAGCUGGCUAAUGUUAGUUAGUCAGUUAACUUGCUAAAUCGCGAUUUUCGUAAAUUAACUUUAUGACAAAAAAAUAUGCACAAUCGUUUGCCUCUACAUUAACCUCUAUGGGCUAGGUGGGACGCUAGCGUGCCACCCAUGGUGCACUCCAUCAACAGCAGGUGCAUUUCAAGAGCGGCAAAUUUGAAUCCAAAUAAAUGACAAAAUUCAAAUUUUUCAAAAAUACAACUAUUUUACACCAUUUGAAAGAUA